rnacentral:rRNA from 1 species
UGCUGGAAUGCAUCGAGAUCGAAAGCUCCGGCGCCUAAGGAUGGGUCUGCGGCCUAUCAGGUAGUAGUGGGUGUAGCGUACCUACUAGCCUACGACGGGUACGGGUUGUGAGAGCAAGAGCCCGGAGAUGGAUUCUGAGACACGAAUCCAGGCCCUACGGGGUGCAGCAGGCGCGAAAACUUUACAAUGCUGGAAACAGCGAUAAGGGGACCUCGAGUGCCAGGUUACAAAUCUGGCUGUCGUGAUGCCUAAAAAGCAUUGCAUAGCAAGGGCCGGGCAAGACCGGUGCCAGCCGCCGCGGUAACACCGGCGGCUCGAGUGGUAACCGUUAUUAUUGGGUCUAAAGGGUCUGUAGCCGGCCGGAUAAGUCUCUUGGGAAAUCCAGCAGCUCAACUGUUGGGCUUUCAGGAGAUACUGUCUGGCUCGAGGCCGGGAGAGGUGAGAGGUACUUCAGGGGUAGGGGUGAAAUCUUGUAAUCCUUGAAGGACCACCAGUGGCGAAGGCGUCUCACCAGAACGGACCUGACGGCAAGGGACGAAAGCUAGGGGCACGAACCGGAUUAGAUACCCGGGUAGUCCUAGCCGUAAACGAUACUCGCUAGGUGUCGGCCACGGUGCGACCGUUGUCGGUGCCGUAGGGAAGCCGUGAAGCGAGCCACCUGGGAAGUACGGCCGCAAGGCUGAAACUUAAAGGAAUUGGCGGGGGAGCACCACAACGGGUGGAGCUUGCGGUUUAAUUGGACUCAACGCCGG